CCUACGUGUGGCUGCAGUGGGGAAUAUUGGACAAUGGGCGAAAGCCUGAUCCAGCCAUGCCGCGUGUGUGAAGAAGGCCUUCGGGUUGUAAAGCACUUUCAGUGGGGAAGAAAGCCUUGGGGCUAAUACCCUCGAGGAAGGACAUCACCCACAGAAGAAGCACCGGCUAACUCCGUGCCAGCAGCCGCGGUAAUACGGAGGGUGCGAGCGUUAAUCGGAAUUACUGGGCGUAAAGCGCGCGUAGGCGGUCUGAUAAGCCGGUUGUGAAAGCCCCGGGCUCAACCUGGGAACGGCAUCCGGAACUGUCAGGCUAGAGGGCAGGAGAGGAAGGUAGAAUUCCCGGUGUAGCGGUGAAAUGCGUAGAGAUCGGGAGGAAUACCAGUGGCGAAGGCGGCCUUCUGGACUGACACUGACGCUGAGGUGCGAAAGCGUGGGUAGCAAACAGGAUUAGAUACCCUUGUAGUC
rnacentral:rRNA from 1 species